ensembl:lncRNA
GCUCCAGUUGUUUCCUAGUGUCUGGUCUACUCCAGGACCAUGGUAGACAAAGCAUUUUCUGAGCUUCCACUUGGACACUGAAUGUGCUGAAGAUAGCCAGAGGCCACCAGGAAUUUGCACAUUUGCACUUCUGUUUUCUAGAUGUGAGUUCUAUCUCGAUAGGUCUGACUGUUCAAAUCCCUGUUUACACACUGAUAGGAUGUCCGCAAUCUGCUUCAAAAUAACCCUUGGAUAGGACGUGGAUAGGGAUUGGAGUGGAACAAGAUUGGCCACAAGUUGAUAAGUAUUGAAGCAUAUUAAUCGAACCUCACAGCUUUGAAUCUUGGGAAAUCUGGUGGUGACCAGGCCUUCUGCAUCCUCCUCCUGGUCACUGAUAACCUUGAUGCACAGGAUGGGAUGGAGAUGCAGGACCCUAAUUCCUUCCUGAGUGACAUCAGUGAGGGCGCUUCAGGUUCCAUUGUUCAGCUACAAAAUACUACAAAUACAAAUACAUAGAAACUUCUCCAGCCCACAGUUCUCCAACUUGUUCACAAGGAGAGUGUGAGCUUCCUUGUCAGAGCUUUGCUGAACUCCAGAGACCAACAAAGUCAGAAAAUGGAGUGAGGCCCAGGUGACCCUGGCACGGCUUCCUCACUUCCCAGCUUCAUUUGGAAGUUUCCUGACAAGCAGCAACUUGAUGGUUCACCUGAGAAUUUUGUCAAAGUUCCAGACUAAGGUGAGGUCUGUGUGGCAUGUCUCUGGAAGCACUUUGAAGACAGGAGUUAUUGUAACAGUGUCUUGAAGCAGUCCUGGCACCUACUUGAUGCUCCAUACGUGCUCACCAGAAGAAUGAAUAUGCAUGAACAGGCUUCAUUCAAUUGUGUUAUCGGGAAGGCCUCUUUUGUGGGCGGCCAGCAGGAGCUCGUGAAGAUACCUCGCAACAGCUCUGAGAGGAAGGGAAUUCUUGCUUCUGUUGACAGAUAAGAAACUGAGUUUCAGUGAGGAGAAAUGAUUAUUAGCCCAAGCCCCAGUGUAAGUGACAAAGCUACAAUUUCAGCCUCAGAUGGGCCUCUCAAGCUGCUGUUCCAUACCCUUGGAUCUGUGAAGAAAGAAGCGAGGGCUUCAGUGAUUUGCUUGAGACUCAGCUGGCCUCCCACCUUCCCUCUCAACAGUCUUGCUCUGGCCGCAGAAGUCUCACCGCUCUACAUCUGCCACGGUCUCUCCAGCCCCCAUGCCUCAGACUAUGCACUUGGCCUGGAAUCCCGACUCCUAUUCUGCCUAGUGAAAUGCCCCUCAUGGAUGUUGUACCUCUCCUAAGUGUAAAAGGAAUGGAGGCAGGGCUUUGGACCUGAUGUCUACCUCCCUUCCAGCCCAGGGUAUGUCUACUGCUUUCCGGUGGAUGCUGGGGGCUAAGCUACACCAGCCCCAAGAGCACAGAUCUGGGCUCAGGGGAUCUUUCUGCUGCCAUCACCCAGGGCUGUUCUCUCUUUGCUCCUUUGGAGGAUGUGCUCUGAGACCAGAUGGACCAGUGCUCACAGGCCAUAUCUAUCCCUUUCCUAACUAUGCAGUUUUGGUUCUCUGAAGGCCUGCUUUAAGGCCUCAGUUUCACUCUCUGUAAAAUGGGACUGCUAGGUAUCAUCUCAUUGAGGAAGACGAGAUGGCAGGGAGGGAAAGGAUAACAGGGAGGGAAGGGAAGGCAGGGAGACCAUGUUUAUGAAAGUUGCCUGGUAAAGGGUAGCGGCCUGGCCCCUGCUAUCUGCUAGCCUUCUGCUGAGUGUGGCCCUGGUAUCUCUCAUUUCCUACGUCCUCCACUCUACUUUUGACUCACAAAGCCAAAGUCUUCGUUCUUUCCUUUGAAAACUUUUCUAGAGAUUUCUUACCUAGAAUUUUUCUAAAUGUACAAGCAUUUCUCUCUAAUCCUGCCCUUUUGCUCUCUCUUGGCCCUCUGUGCUGCAAUCCAUAGGCCCUGAGCCCGUCAGCUCCAUAGAAGGAGCACCAGCAGAACCCUCCCAUGUUCUCAGAGCUGGGUUACUCUGCCCAGCAGGUCUUACCUCAGCCAGACUCGGGGCUCCCAGGCCAAGACAGCCUGGAGUGGGUGUUGCAGGGAAUCAUCACUAUCACCCCCCCCAAGGCCCUUGGGCACCCAGGGAAUGAGCUGGGCCCUUGUUGGGCUCCCCUUUUCAUCCUUGUUUGCCAGAGGGCCACUCCCCUUUGGAGAGAUGACACAGGGAUUGAGAACAUAGAAUUUUCAAGGUUCUACUAGCUCUGCCACUUUCUAUUUGAGAGACCUUGGGCCUGUAGCUUGGCUUUGCUGACCCAAAGGUGGUGUUCCUAGUACCCCUUCCAGGACUCUGUGAGAAAUCACUGCUUGCCAUAAAGC